ensembl:lncRNA
CCUCCCGAUCGCCAGCUCCUCCUCUACGAGUCAGUCUGUGGCCGAAACGUCUGCUUCCAGGCUCUGAUCCCGCGGCCGCGAGUGUGUGUGUGGACGUCUGUGUACACACACAGACACACACCCAAACACACACACACACCCACACACACACGCGCGCACUGCAGCUUGGGGGCCACAGAACAAUCAGACGCGCACGGGUUUUUCUCCUGGAGAUGCCGCUGAAAACGCUCCAGUCGUCAUCCGAGCUGCCAGAGUCAGCGCCAACUUUUGUCCUUUCAUUUUAGGGUUUGGCAAAAAGCUGCCUACUCGCUGGAAGGUGAACCCCAACUUCAGCUUGGACCCCUUGGCUCGCCUGUCCAAGGCUGCUUGCACUGGGCUGCACCCGGGCUGCCGCCAUGCCACGGAAUCUCUAGGA